rnacentral:lncRNA from 1 species
AUUAUUCAUGUGAAACUAUAACAUCUGAAUCAUAGAUAGCCUGUGAUUUAGAUGAAUCCUGUUGCAAAUAUCAAAGAAGAUCUGUUUCCAAUAGGACCAUUUCUAAUGAAUGUUUUAAUAUUUCAAUAUUUUUUCCCCUUUACCAUCUGUACACAAUGAGUAAAGGGGGGAAAUUUCCUCUUUACUCAUUGUGUACAGGUAUACCCCAGUAUACACCUGUACCACCUGUAUACAGUGUCCUCUUCACACCCCAGUGUAAAGGGGCUGUGUUCACUAUGUACAGGUGUAUAUACCUGUACACAGUGAACACAGUAGCAGAUUUAGGCAUGGUCUUUACGGGCUACAGCCCAGAGCCCUGUUCAAUCAAAAGGCCUUUUUGCAGUCAAAAAAAUAAUAAUUAAAAAUUUAAAAAAUAUAAGUUAUUCAAAAUUUUUCAUACCUAGAUAAAUUUUAAAUGAUUAGUUUGCACCACUAUUGGAUUUGAAUAAAAUAUCAAA